UACGGGGGGGGCAAGCGUUGUUCGGAAUUACUGGGCGUAAAGGGCUCGUAGGCGGCCAACUAAGUCAGACGUGAAAUCCCUCGGCUUAACCGGGGAACUGCGUCUGAUACUGGAUGGCUUGAGUGUGGGAGAGGGAUGCGGAAUUCCAGGUGUAGCGGUGAAAUACGUAGAUAUCUGGAGGAACACCGGUGGCGAAGGCGGCAUCCUGGACCAUUACUGACGCUGAUGAGCGAAAGCCAGGGGAGCAAACGGG
rnacentral:rRNA from 1 species